rnacentral:lncRNA from 1 species
GUUGUUGAAGGCAUAGAAAUUUGGGUUGCAACUUAUUGUGAGGCUUCAACUUGUUGCUCAAUAAUAUCCAUCUAUUGGGAGUAUUCAAACACUUGUUGUUGUUGAGGAUUCAUAAUGUUGUUAAAGGAGAUGAAGUUGAAGAGAGGUUGCAGAGAAGUUAAAGGUAAGGGUUUAUGUAAGUUGUGAGAGUGAAACGUGUGAAUGUGGUAAUCGUGGGAAUAUAUAUACAUAAGUUCAAAACACAUGCAAAACGACAAUGUUAGCUUAAGAGGGAACAUAAGUAAUUAUUAUUGCUAAAAUCUGAGUUGACAAGCGUGAGGAGAAUUAAAUGCAACUAAUGAUGGGU